CCUCGUUAAUGUGGGAUGAAAAUAACUAAGCUUUGUGAAACGAAAGAGGACAAUAUGGAACCACUACUAACAUGGAUGAAGACAAACAAAAUAUAUGUUUUUACAGUAGUGACCUGCUGUAUCCAAGGUACUGGGAUGAUGUGGCUUCAAAAUUGCUACUGGCUGCUCACAAAGUUUCUCCAGUUGUCAAAAGCAAAUCACUUCACCCAGUUUGGAGCAUUUAAAGCUGUUGGAGUUUGGAGCAGCCAUCGCCACAUAGAUGUCCUCUUUAAAGGUGAAGAUGUCCGCUGACAUGGACUGAAUGGGAAUGGACUGAUGACGCACGAAGUCUGUGAGAUGCAGACAAAAACAGAAACUGCUAGACCUGCUGACAAAGUGAAAGAGUCCACAUUUAGAAGCUCACUGCUUAAAUUACAUUUUUUUUCAUGCUGAGAUUCGUGAACAGCGCCUGUAUGACCCUGUGCUGAGUUGUGACUGUCGUAUCUUAGGUUUAGUAUUUUAAUGCAGCAUACUUUCUUAUUUUAUUCUUGUAAGCAAAGUCUCUUUUAGCCACAAUACAAAGAUUUGUCUUGUCUGUCCACAGUGCACUGAUAGUAUAACUAUUGUGAAAAUAACACUUAUAUUUAAAAAAAUAUAUAUAAUUUUUCCUUUAUUUUCUGAUUUUAAGCUCAAACAAAACAAGUGGAAAGUGCAGACAUCAACAAUAUCAGAUUUGUGUAACAGCAAUAUUAUAUGCUACAUACAAGAAAGGACAUAAAGUUUUUUUCUCCAUAUUUUCCCCCCCAAGAGUAAUUUCUGUUUGGCGGCAAUUAGCAAAUGUUAGCUACCUGCUAAAGAUCAGCAGUUUAAAAUGGUCAUUGUGAGCGUGUUGGCAUGCUAACGUUAGCAUUUAGCUCUUCUGAAGUGCAGCCACACAAAGGCUGCAGGCUCUUCUUGAACAUCUUUGAACUGUUGUCACCUGGCAGAUUUAGAGACAUUUUUCCCCCCAGAGCCA